AGAGAGAGACAUGCGCGCAUAUCAAUAAGCGGAGGAAAAGAAGCUAACAAGGAUUCCCCUAGUAACGGCGAGUGAAGCGGAAAGAGCUCAAAUUUGAAAUCUUAAAGGGUUUCCCUUUACGAAUUGUAGUUUAAAGAAGUGUUUUCUGUUGAGGUUUCGGUAAAAGUUCUUUGGAAUAGGACAUCAUAGAGGGUGAGAAUCCCGUAUUUGACCUUUACUUUCAACUUUGUGAUACACUUUCAAAGAGUCGGAUUGUUUGGGAAUGCAGUCCAAAAUGGGUGGUAAAUUUCAUCUAAAGCUAAAUAUUGGCGAGAGACCGAUAGCGAACAAGUACCGUGAGGGAAAGAUGAAAAGAACUUUGAAAAGAGAGUUAAACAGUACGUGAAAUUGUCAAAAGGGAAGCGUUUGACACCAGUGUUGUUUUUCUGAAAAUCAAUUAAAGAACUGUUUAUGCUAAGUUGUUUAGACUUUAUCAGCUAACUGUUUAGUUUUGAGCUUUUCUUUAAUGCACUUUUCAGUUAACAAGUCAACAUCAAUUUCUUUUGCUGUAAAAAAGCUUGAGGAAGGUGGCUUGAGAUUCGUCUUAAGUGUUUAUAGCCUCUUGCCUAUGCAGUCGGAGAGAUUGAGGUCUGCAGCGUAGAUCCUUCGGGGCUAAAUGCAUUUGUGCUAAGUUAUAGCAUUUUAUAGACAACUUGUUGACUAUGAUUUGUCUUGUAGCUUACUCGCUUAUGUUAUUUUACCUACGCUUAGGAUGUUGAGCGCAUGUCUCUCUCU
rnacentral:rRNA from 1 species